UACGGAGGGGGCUAGCGUUGUUCGGAAUUACUGGGCGUAAAGCGCGCGUAGGCGGAUCUGCAAGUCGGGGGUGAAAUCCCGAGGCUCAACCUCGGAACUGCCUUCGAUACUGCGGGUCUCGAGUCCGGGAGAGGUGAGUGGAAUUCCUAGUGUAGAGGUGAAAUUCGUAGAUAUUAGGAAGAACACCAGUGGCGAAGGCGGCUCACUGGCCCCGGUACUGACGCUG
rnacentral:rRNA from 1 species